rnacentral:tRNA from 1 species
UAAAUUCUAAUAUGGCAGAUUAGUGUAAUAGAUUUAAACCCUAUAAAUGUAAUUUAUAAUUACUAUUAGAA